rnacentral:lncRNA from 10 species
GUUCAAUGGGUGAAUAAGUACAAGCUUCCCUUGAAACAGUGGUUCGCAGAUUUUUUUUCAGUGACUCUUUUACUAACAAAAUGCCGCAUAUCCCCUACCCUUUUUCCUGGUAAUAAGUGCUUUUCUUUUCGUUUCUUUCUUUCUUUCUUUCUUUUUUUUUUUUUUUUUUUGAGACAGGCUCUCACUCUGUCACCCAGGUUGGAGUGCAGUGGUGCCAUCAUGGCUCACUGCAACCUCAGACUGCCAGGCUCGCAUGAUCCUCCCACCUCACUCUCCUGAAUAGCUGGGACUGCAGGUGCAUGACAUCAAGUCCAGAUGUGUUAACUUGUCUUUAAGCGGGCCACCAUCAAUUUGCUCAACUCCGGGAUAGUUGAACCUAGGCAGGCCUUAGUGACUUGUUUAAGUAAUAGAAUAUGUUGAAAAAUAUCUUUGGAGCUUCUGAAGCUAGGUUAUAAGAAGACUUGGAGCUUCUGCCUACGCCUCCUGAAACACCUACUCUUGGACCCCUGAGCCACCAUGCAAGAAAGUUUAGUCCCUGCUGGAAUGAGUUCAUGGAGAGGCUCUGAGUCUGUAUGGAGAGGGAGACAGGCCUAGCUGAGCCUACCUACUACCUGUGCCCACUAAAGCAUCAGGCAUGUGAGUAUGGUCACGUUGACCACCCCAGACCAGGUCAUCUGUCAGUUGAGUACCACUGAAGAGUGACUCCGGUUAACAGCCACAUUGACCAAAAGAAUCAACCAGCCAGAUUUUGCCUCAAUUCCUGAAUUUCAGAAAUUGUCAUUUUAAGCCACUAAGUUUUAAGGUGGUUUGCUACAUUGUAAUAGAUAAUAGAACACUGAAGAGUAAUCUGAGACAACAAGGUAAGCUAUUAGAAAAUUAUUACCACUUCCAACUAUUUAUCUUGUGAAUCAGGCAACAGAAAUGGAGAAUACAAAAUACAGAAAUAAACUGGG